rnacentral:rRNA from 1 species
AUGGUGCCGGGGUUCACCAAGUUUGAUGUGGUGAAAUUCGAUGGCACGGGUAACUUUGGUCUAUGGCAGACAAGAGUCAAGGAUAUUCUAGCGCAGCAGGGAAUCUUGAAGGGUUUGCAGGAAACGAAGCCGGCCAAGGUUGACAAUGAUGCGUGGGAGGAUAUGCAAGUGCAGGCGGCCGCUACCAUACAGCUUUGUCUUAUGUAUCAGGUUAUGUAUCAUGUCAUGGUCGAAGCUUCUCCCAAGGGAAUUUGGGAUAAAUUGGCAAAUCGUUAUAUGUCCAAGUCAGCGACCAAUAAGUUGUAUUUGAAGCAAAAGUUCUAUGGGCUGAAGAUGCAGGAGGGGUCGGAUCUUGUGGAGCAUGUGAAUGCCUUUAAUCAAUUGGUCACGGAUCUAGCGCGUCUGGAUGUGAAGAUUGAUGAUGAGGAUAAGGCACUAUUUCUUCUUAUUUUUUUGCCACUGCCCUAUGAGCAUUUGGUCAUUACAUUGACACAUGGAAAGACAACCAUCAAUAAUGACGAAGUCACUGCAGCGUUGCUUGGACAUGAGUUGAUGAAGCAAAAGAAUGCUGCAGAAAGGGAGAGUACUCAAGGUUUGGGGUUGGCAGUUAAAGGUUAUCAGCCCAGGAAGGGACAAGAGGCGGAGAAGAAAAGGAAGAAAAGGAUGCAGUGCUACAGGUGCAAGGACUGGGGACAUAUAAAGAGGGAAUGCCCAGAACUGAGGGUGAGGCAAGAGCUAAUGCGGCUACUCAUGGUGAUGACUCGAACAGUGAUAGUGAUGUUCUCGUAG